GGAUCCACAGUGAGCUGGUCAGCCGAGGCUCUGGAGAGCUGUCGGGGGUGGAUGGAGUCCUGACUGAACAUGCCACACUUGGACUGCAGCUUAGGGAUCCCAAAAGGCAACCCACCUUGAGUUAACUCAGGGGACAUGUGAGUUGCUGGGCUAAAGCAUUGAAGGGCGUCUUGCUUCUAAGAUAAAGACUAAAGCUCAGGCUAUCCUGAGCAAUUCUUCUCUAACUCAAGAAGUUCUCUUCCCUAGGAGGGCAAAUAACAAAGCCUGGUCUAUUUCUAGCAGUUCCUCCCUGUCUCAGGAUAUUGCAUGCUCACACAUGCUUCAACUAUUCUGAGAACUACAAUCAACAAGACAGAAGAAGACUAGAUGAUGUUUCCUUUCCUGCCCAAUUUAUCUGGUUAAAACGUCUGAUACACUGUUGAAUAGAAGAGGCAAGGGCACAUGUUCAUGUCUUGUUCCUGAUAUUGGGAGAAAGCAUCCCGUUUUUCACCACUCUGGCCAGGACAGCCUAUCUGUGCAGGAGGCAUUGCUGGCACCCCGUGGGGACUGAGGACCAAGGAGGAGCUGCUCCCCCACACACGGUUCGUACUUCUGCUCUGUGAAGAGAGACAACUGUGCCCUGUCACCUUCACUGAACUAUGAGGUGUGUCCUGAUGCUGUGCAUGACAUCUUGGGUUUGCAGAACUGUUCACUCUCUCCCUGGAUUUAAAAUGAGUUCAAAUUAUAAGACCUUCAUUUUAUUGGUAAUAUAUUAAAAUUUGGGGGAAAGAACUAGUUUUAAAACUUUCUAUUAAGCCUAAAGUAGUGGCAAAUUUCAUAAUUAGAUUGCACAAUAUUGGAUAGCUUAAAAAUUUCAAAAUUGCCAAUUUGUUACUUGUCUGUAUUUGAUGUAUACUGUAAAAUACAAAAUGCACUUUAUGUUUUCCAUCGUGCAACAGUGAAACACUGGAGAUUCAUUCAAUCAUAUAACGGGUAUUUAUUGAAUGUCCAUGAUACGUCAGGCAACUUGGAUUGCUAAGAUAAAUAAGAUGUUUAAGUAGUGUCAUUUAGUGUUACAGAUAUGAUGACAGAAGUAUGUGCUGUAUAUAUUAAUGCUUCUGAAGCAAAGUGUGGGCAGGCAGAUUACUUUAUAAAAAGAAAUAAAAGUCAUCUCAAUUAGAAGGAAAGAAG
rnacentral:lncRNA from 1 species